GGUCCAAUCCUUAAAGUCAUCCUCAGUUCGGACUGGGGUCUGCAACCCGACCCCACGAAGCUGGAUUCGCUAGUAAUCGCGCAUCAGCCAUGGCGCGGUGAAUACGUUCCCGGGUCUUGUACACACCGCCCGUCACACCAUGGGAGUUGGAAAUGCCCGAAGCCAGUGACCCAACCGUAAGGAGGGAGCUGUCGAAGGUGGAGCCGAUGACUGGGGUGAAGUCGUAACAAGGUAUC
rnacentral:rRNA from 1 species